rnacentral:rRNA from 1 species
AUUGAACACUGGCGGCACGCCUAACACAUGCAAGUCGAGCGGCAGCGAGAGUAGUAGCAAUACUACUUGUCGGCGAGCGGCGGACGGGUGAGGAACACGUAGGAAUCUACCCAGAAGAGGGGGAUAACCAAGGGAAACUUUGGCUAAUACCGCAUAAUCUCGAGUGAGAAAAGCUGCCCGCAAGGGUGGCGCUUUUGGAGGAGCCUGCGUCCGAUUAGCUAGUCGGUGGGGUAAAGGCCUACCAAGGCGAUGACCGGUAACUGGUCUGAGAGGACGACCAGUCACACUGGGACUGAGACACGGCCCAGACUCCUACGGGAGGCAGCAGUGGGGAAUAUUGGACAAUGGGGGCAACCCUGAUCCAGCGAUGCCGCGUGAGUGAAGAAGGCCUUCGGGUCGUAAAGCUCUUUAGGUUGGGAAGAAGGGUGCGAGGGUAAUAUCCUUGUACUUUGACGGUACCAACAGAAUAAGCACCGGCAAACUCUGUGCCAGCAGCCGCAGUAA